CCAACAAUGCUGCCAGGCAGCUUAUAUAACCACACUUGUUGGCGAAAUAUGUUCAUUCCUCACUGAGCCCUUGAAGUAUCUGGACAGCGUAAGGUAAUUGUUUCUGGUUUUACAUAUACAUAUGUUAGGAUUUUAGUGGGGUUAAGAAGACAUGUUUGUCCUGAUAUUGCAGCUGCCUUUACAUUGCCUUUUCUACAGUAUUAUUUCAGACAUGAUAAUGCUAAUAAUUUAAGCUGUAAUUUUAUAGCCACUUAUCUGGCAGAAGAUCCCAUUGAAAGUGCACUGUGUAUCAGUUAUUUGGACAAAGCCAGAAAAGAUAUAAUUCAAUUCAACAUCAUGUAAAUAUAAAUGCAUAUCAGUAUCUUGGGGGGAAAGUAGCAUGUUUCAGCCAAAAGAACAAUCCUGAAAAGUAGGUGGUUGGUUUGCCAUGUGAAUGUAAAAUCUGAAUUUUUCAAAAUCAUCACCACAUUAGAAUUUUCUGCCUUCCAUUUGUCUUCUACAUGAUCAACCUUGUUGAUCAAGAUGUUGAUCAAGACAACAAGAUGUUCUCCUUGUUAGUGUGAGAGAAGCUGUAAAGUGAAACAUAGCAGCGAUUAAAAAUACUCACAGCUGUAAAGACAUAAGAAGAGCUGGCUGGAUCAGACCAAUGACCCAUCUAGGCCAACAAACAUCCUGUUUUCCCAGUGGACAACUGUGGGAAGCCUGGAAGCAGGACCUGAACUCAACAGCACUCCACCCACUUGUGAUUCCCAAUAGCUGCCAUUCAGGGGCAUUUCGCCUCUGACAGAGGCAGCUUGGCUCCCAAGUCCCGUGAAUCUAGUUGGAAACAUGGUGCUCUGUGACAUGCUUAUUUAUUCCAAAAUAUUUAUUUGCUGCCUUUGAAAGUAAACUCUUCCAAGGUGGUUUACAAUAAGACACAGAAAAACAAUUAAAAAACUCAUAAAAAUAGAAUACCAAUAAAACAGGGAGGCCACCCAAAAUCACUAAAAUAGAAUCAACGCCAACAAAAAUGGAGGCUAACAAUUACUAUAUAAAAGAAACACCUUCAGGACAAAGUCCAACACUAAACACAUCAGGCAAAGUCCACAAAACAAAGUGAGUCUUUACACCCAGACACAUUCUCUCUCUCUCUCUCUCUCUCUCUCUCUCUCUCUCUCUCUCUCUCUCUCUCUCUCUCUCUCUCUGGUCUGAGCCUCCCUGCAAAACAAAUUUCAUUCAGAAGGCAUUUGAUUUCAUGGCAAUGUCACGCUGUCUGAAGAGCAAAUUUUGAGUCAUAGAUUCGAAGCAAGAAACCAUUGUCUCAUAUACACAUCCUAAGGCUGAAUGUUCCCUCCACUUGCCUAUCCCUCUAUUUUCUACCUUUUUUGUAAUUCUUUUUUAAACUCAAGGUGUCUCCGACCCAAAAUCUAGUGAUAUCCAUACAUUGUAAAUAUCUAAUAUAUUGCUUUGUAAAGAAAGUUAGUGGUGUACGAAAUGAUUUGUUUAGAAUACAGUGGCACCUCGGGUUACAUACGCUUCAGGUUACAUACACUUCAGGUUACAUACUCUGCUAUGAAGGGAAGUUCUCUUUCUGCAGUUCUCUUACUGCACAUAACUGUGAAGUCUUACUAUGAGAACUAUUGCUUCUUUUCUCUUGCAUUCUGGGAAGUCUCGCUCAUAAUCUUUUCUCUGCUUCUGCACAUGAGUCUGAGAAUGUUCUGAACAGUUCCCAUUGAGUUCAUGAAACAGUGUAUCCUGACCUGUUCUUAAUGCAUUGCUGACCACAUCUACGGAACGUGAUUGUUGUAUUCUUUCAUGUUAUGUUCUUUCAAUAUCAAUCUUUAGUUAUAAUUUAAUUAGGAGGUUUCAUGCCUGUCUAGUUCCAGCUCCGAUUCUCAGCCUUUGAUCUAUCAGUGAUAAAUGGCUAUAUGUAAUUCCCGCCUUGUACCUAUGUUAACCAAUCAGCAACAAGAUGCUUUGUGUUUGUAUCAACCAAUCAGCCACAAGCACACCUGUGGCAAUGUUUGUAAUAUUCAAUAAAAGAGAGUUCCCGGGGCUUGCCCCGGCAGACGCCUCUCAUAUGACACCUGCCACUCGUCUGUCGUGAUUUCAACCCAACACUGCUAACCCAGAAAUAGUGCUUCAGGUUAAGAACUUUGCUUCAGGAUGAGAACAGAAAUCGUGCUCCGGUGGCGCAGCGGCAGCAGGAGGCCCCAUUAGCUAAAGUGGUGCUUCAGGUUAAGAACAUUUUCAGGUUAGGUACGGACCUCCAGAAUGAAUUAAAUACUUAACCCAAGGUACCACUGUACUUAUAUCAUGCAUUACAGCUCCCAGUGGCUGUAAUUCAGUUGAGAGCUGCCCAGAGUGGCUGGGGAGACCCAGUUAGAUGGGCGGGGUAUUAUUAUUAUUAUUAUUUCUAAGUAGCUUACAAAAGAUACUCAUAAUUAUUCAAGGUGGUUUCAGUGCAGGUUGAAAGAAAAGUAUAUGGUACAAUUCACUUCAUCUCAUUCCUGGAACAACACCUCCGUUUUUCCUAAUGACCGAAAGGGUGUGCCCGUUCAUCCUUUUAUAUGGCACAAAAGUGCAAAUAUUCCUGUAGACCAGCCUUUCUUAACCUGUGGGUCCCCAGAUGUUGUUGAACUACAACUCCCAAAACCCCUAGCUAGCAAGGCCAGAGAGCUGAGGGAUGAUGGGAGUUGUAGUCCAACAACAUCUGGGGACCCACAGGUUGAGAACCGCUGCUGCAGACACAUUAUAUGCAAAUACAAAUUCAAGACAUGCACCCUAUUUGUACAUGGAAGCAGCUUGUGCAUACCUGUGUCCCCUGCUUUCUCCAUCAGAAACUGCAUCCACAGAAAUGAGCAUUCACAAAAGAGGCAUUCAGUGGAGGCCACAUUAAACUUGGCAACAUAAGAAGAUGCCUUACACUGGUUCAGGGCAUUGGUCCAUCUAGUUCAGUAUUGUCUGUUCUGACUGGCAGUGACUGUUUAAAGUUGUAUACAAGUGUUUCUCCCAAUCCUACCUGAAUAUCAUGGGGAUUUUAUUUAUUUAUGUUUUGGCCGAUUAAUAUUCGGCAGCAUUUAAAAAUGUGUCUGUGGGAAGGGGUGGGUGGGUUGUUUUGCUGUUCUGUUUUAAUUACUUACUUGUUUCUAAUCUUGUAUUUUGUUCUGUGAACUGCCCAGAGAUCUUGUGAUGAAGGGCUGUAUGUAAAUCGAAUAAAUAAAUAAUAAUAAACAUAUCUUGUUAAAAGUUUCACAGCGAAUUGAUGUGAAGAGAAAAGGAAAGGGAAAGAAGGAAAAAUACAUAGAAACAGAAGAAAGCAGAGGAAAACAACAUCUAAAUGACAAUAAAAUGUGAUUAAGGUUACAAAACUAUGUAGUAUAUAUGCAAGCAGAUGAGCUUAUUAUUUCCCUCACAUAUAGAUCUAUCCGUUGAUCAAAGGGGGCCAUAUUUUUAACCUUCCAAUGUAUUAAUAUUGAUCUUUUUGCAGAUGGAAGGGCGCGAAGAAGCCAUUUACAAUGACCGAUUGUUAAGUACCACAUAUUAGGUAUAUAAUUUAAGAUGAUGUUAUGAAAUGUUUAAUUAUUUUCCCACAAUAGUAUUUAUACAUUCUAGUAUUACCCUUCCCCCCAAAUGCUAACACCAAACAUAGCAUAAACAUAAUGUCUCAAAGAAGCAUUUUCCUUAUUAAAUCUCCAACAACGUUUUGUCAUGCAUAGACCAUUUUUAUAGAAUAGCGAUGAAGUCUAGUGCAGGAGUUUCUCCCAGUCCUUACCUGGCAAUUAUGGGGAUUUAACCCAAAACCUUUUUGCAUGCAGAGCAGAUGUACUGCUACUGAAAAAGGGGACGUGGGUGGCUCUGUGGUCUAAACCGCUGAGCCUCUUAGGCUUGCUGAUCGGAAGGUUGGUGGUCUGAAUCCCUGCGAUGGGGUGAGCUCCCAUUGCUCUGUCCCAGCUCCUGCCAACUUAGCAGUUCAAAAGCAAACCAGCGCAAAUAGAUAAAUAGGUACCACUCCGGUGGGAAGGUAAACAGUGUUUCCAUGCGCUGCUCUGGUUCGCCAGAAGCGGCUUAGUCAUGCUGGCCACAUGACCCGGAAAACUGUCUGUGGACAAACACCGGCUCCCCCGGCCUGAAAGCAAGAUGAGUGCUGCAACCCCAUAGCCUUUGACUGGACUUAACUGUCCAGGGAUCCUUUACCUUUACCUUACUGCUACUGAACUAUGGCAUUUUCCAAAAGGAUGGAAGGAAGUGUACAAUAUAGAUAGAGAUGUGUAUCUUCCCCAGCCACUGACUCUGGCUAUGUGCACAUGGUUGUGUGUGACAGAUUGCUUGAACAUAUGAGUCAGACUAAUAAACGAUCCUUUAAUGUGCAAUUCACAUUAAGGCUGAUAGUACAGCCAGUAAGAGAACAUCAAACGCAUAAUUGCAAUCAAAUGACACAAUCCAGAGCUUUUUUAAAAAAAAAAUUAAAUAUAUUUUAAAAAAAUAAUUUUAUAAGUUGUGUUUCUUUGUUUCUCAAUUUUUUCUGUUUACAUAGUUUUGUAUGCAUUGUGGUAUUUUAUGCAUUGUGACUUGCAGUUAUUUUUAUUGAUCACAGUUUAGAAAUUAUUUAUUGUAAUUGUUAAGAGUGAGUUUCUGUUUAAUUAUUUUUUGCCAAAGUUUCAAGAGUUAAUUUUGUUGUGUUCUAUUCUAUUCUAAUAGAUUAUUGAAUAUUGCUUAAUUUGAUAAUAGCCAUCUCAUUAUAAAGUUAUAUUUUAAUAGGACUUUCUGUAUUGGAUCAGAUUAUUAUAAGGCAUGCUUUGUGUAUAGUUUGCUGCUGUAAGCCACUUUGUGUAUAGUAAUAGAGAAAGGCAGCAUACAAAUUAAAAUAGAAAUGUAAAAAAUGAAAUAAAAGAGAGGCAAAGGUAAGCACUUUUAAACACCAUCAGUUUAAAUAGUUGGGGGGCGGGGGAAACGUGUUCUUAAAUUGAACAUGUCUUAAAAUUACUUAACACAAGUUGGAUCAUCUCUGAGGUCCUUUGCUAUGGAAAAACAUAGCCAAGACUGCUAGGCAAAUUUGGACAUUAGCAAAAGGUGUACACAGGUUGCAGCACAUCACAAAUCAAACUGUCAGGGCAUGAAUGCAAGAGCAGACGUUAUAAAUUAAAAACUAAAUUUGCACUUCAGAAGCCAUCAAGAGAGGUCAGGACAAAAGAGGUUGGACCAAUAAACCAAAACGCUUGUUGUACAUGAAGGACGAAAUGCAACAUAAAAAAUAUGUUUUGUUGUUCUACAGAAGCAAAUUAACUUUUAAUUGAGAUAACUAGACAAACGAGCCGAGUUGCUUAUCAUCAGACGUUGCACACUUGGUCAUUGAGAAUCUUGGCAAACAACAGGAAGAGUCUGAGUUGAAAACAAACCAUGGCUAGCUCUUGCUUUAUUGCACAGGUGGCAAAUUAAAUGAAUCUGCCAGUCCAGUGUGGUGAGUCAGUGUGUCAAAUUGAUUAACUGGAUUAGGGGUGGGGAAACUCUGGUCUGCCAGGGGUUCUACUUUGCCCGCUGCCCAUGUCAUUUCCCCCAAACUAUAUCCCCAACUGUCCAUCAGCUAGACAAUUGGCUGGAGGAACAUGCACAACCCUUACCUUUGUGGAUUUGGUGGCAUUCCAGUUGCACAGAAGUAAGGUGUCUCUACAGUGUGAGAGCAAGUGUAGUGUAGUGGUUAAGAGCGGUAGACUCGUAAUCUGGUGAACCGGGUUCGUUUCUCCGCUCCUCCACAUGCAGCUGCUGGGUGACCUUGGGCUAGUCACCCACUUCUUUGAAGUCUCUCAGCUCCACUCACCUCACAGUGUUUGUUGUGGGGAAGGGAAAAGAGAAUGUUAGCCGCUUUGAGACUCCUUCGGGUAGUGAUAAAGCGGGAUAUCAAAUCCAAACUACUCUUCUUCUUCUUCUUCUUCUUCUUCUUCUUCUUCUUCUUCUUCUUCUCCACCACACUCAGAGCCCUUCAAAUUUCUAUCGGGGGCAAGCAAGAGGCAGCAUCAAAGUUCAGGAACACAACCCCAGCCUUGAGUAAGAUGAGGACCACAGUCAGUUAGAGGCACGGCCUGGGGAGAAAAGAUGUGGCCUGGCAACGGGAGAUUCCUGAGGGUCAAAUGAAGAUGUGUGGAGGCCAGCAUUUGGCCAUCCAGAACUGAGGUUACCCAACCCCUGGUUUAAACCAUAUACAUCUUCUUUCAGGGUGUUGGGGCAAUUAUUCAAAGUUCACAUCCCAUGUUUUGCCAGAAGGGUUUCCUUUGCUGUCCUUAUAAGCAAGUCACAUGAUGAUACAGUGCUUUAAAGAUUAGAGGCAUCAAUUGUGUGUCAAGGCCCCGAGCCCUCCCCAUUUGUUGAAUAAUAACACAUGGACACAGUGGGCAAAUAAAGGCCACAACAUUAUUGGUUACAGAAUGGGAGUGGUAUUGGCUUAGGCAUUGGAAUUGAACCCACUAUAUGAGACUCUUGCCUGCCAUGCAGGUAGUCUCGUAAUGGUCAACCACCAGUAGGGGGAGCCCUGUUGAUGUACAUCAACUAAGAGCUCCCCCAGGGUCCCUGAUGGGGUCGUGGCAUGGCCCUAGCCCCUACCUGGGCUUCGGACAAGAUCCACACCCCCAGAUCCCUUUAACAGACUACCCUUAAAGCGGAGGGACCUGCGAUGGCCGCAACCUCUCCUCCCAAGAACCAGGUUUUACUAACGCCUAACUGCCAAAUCUUAUAAAAGUUGUGACAAUUGCUACGAGGUAGGUGAAAACCAAAUGGCUGAUGCCAAUUGGGAAAAUUCCUAUCAGGCCCCCUCAACGGGCGACGAGCUAAGGUCCAUAGCAAGGCCAGAAUGUUGAACAAAUGAAAAAGGGCGGGAGAUCCACGGAAGCAGGGACAGGAAGGGAGAUCCCCUGGCCACGUGUCAGUUUAAAUAUGCUAAGCCAUGCCCCCGAGCCAACUGGAUUGGUUGCCAGGGGCCGUGACGUGGCCAGGACUCCUCUCAUGACACAGGGGCUUAGCCACGCCCCCGCUUUGUAUGGGGAGACUACGUGGCCUGCCCGCAACACCGUCCCACAAGGAACUGGAGCGGCCUUGUCUUAGGAUUUGUAAAGCACAGGUCUUUAAAUAUGGUCCAUAUUUCAGUGUGCACAAGAUGGUAUGAUUACCAUCAGUGUCAUUGGUGAGAGCAGAUAAGCAACUAGGAUUGGGUUGGCUGGUUGAAAUCUUACUUUUUCUGCCAUAAACUUACUAAGUGAUGUUAGGUCAGCCCCAUUCAUGCAUUACUUGCUCUCAUGCUCCUCUUCAGAUGUCUAAACUCAAUGUGCAGAAGUCAAUGACAGGACUUGCCCAGACACACAAUGUUGGAUGAAGCAGGUAGUGCAGUCCCAGCCUUCAUGUUGAAGAGGAGCUAACUCUAAGCCUCAGCUUUCCUUCUGCAGCACAGGACUAAGAAGACCAAUAUUUGCAGCCAGGACACCUGGGGGAGUUGGGGAAGAGAACUCACAAUCUUUGCUCAUAAUUUCUUCUUUGCUGCUGCUUCUUUCCCCUGAGAGCAGAGAUGAAGAAGACUAUUGUGAACCACCUUUUAAAAGAAUUCAGCUCCAAAAUCCCAGGCUCAAUUGUGAGCCAUGGCCCAUCAUGGGAAAGGGACAUCAAAACUACGCAACAAAUACAGACCUUCCUUACAGGUUUACUGUGAUAGUGUAUGUGAAUACUGCAUGUGUAGGAUAUAAAAUCUGCAGUUGCAAGAGUUGCGAGUGAAAAUCAGAAACCGACAAGCUCAGAGCUCAAACUCUU